rnacentral:rRNA from 1 species
UACAGAGGUCUCAAGCGUUGUUCGGAUUCAUUGGGCGUAAAGCGCGCGCAGGCGGUCCUUUAAGUCUGGUGUGAAAGCCAACGGCUCAACCGUGGAGGGUCAUUGGAAACUGGGGGACUUGAGUGCAGGAGAGAAGGGUGGAAUUCCACGUGUAGCGGUGAAAUGCGUAGAGAUGUGGAGGAACACCAGUGGCGAAGGCGACUUCCUGGCCUGCUCUUGACGCUGAGGCGCGAAAGCUAGGGUAGCAAACGGG